ensembl:lncRNA novel transcript, sense intronic to TCF20
CAGGUGAUCCGCCCACCUCGGCCUCCCAAAGUGCUGGGAUUACAGGCGUGAGCCACCAUGCCCGGCCUGAGAAUCUGGAUUUUUUAAAGCAACAAUGGCAUAAAAAGAGGUAUGUGACAGAAUCUUCUGGAGAAAAGACCUCCUUCCCCAGCUGCGUCUUAGACCUACUAACUUCUCAUUAUUUGUUUGCUCAGUGUUAAAAUGAGUAAGUCCAUUGUAUAAAGCUGUGUGUAUUCUGAAUAUGUUCUUUAUCUGCUCAAGAUUGUGGCUAAUUUCUGACAUCCUCUGUUUGGUAGAUGAAGUACAGAAAGACAAAGAAGGACAUUCUUAAUGAAGGAGAAAAGUCCUUUAAUCCCAACCUUUCUAACCUGAUGGAAAACAUCAUAACUUUACUAUAAACUGCAGACAGGCUGGUCCCACCUUAUGGGCACAAAGACAUCGGAAGGGAAAUAAGGGAACGGGCUUUCUUUGUGGAUCAAAACAGAAUCCAAGGAUGUAGCUGUUAGAUGCCGCCAAAACGGCCACACUCAAGAGAUUUGGACCUGGGUCAGGCUUUCUGUGCGUUUUGUACCACUUCUGGGGCCAGCUACCACCCAACCACCACUCAGCCACAGAGACACUUAUUACAGGUUUAUAAUUUGACUUGAAAGGUUUUCCCAAAGAAACAAAUACUUGUCAGGAUCUGUAGCAGAGCCAUGUUUUGAUUGGGGCUUUUAUGGGAGGAGAAUGGUGAUCUAAAUAUAUAAUUUUAUUUCAAAUUAUGCUUGAAAGAUGAUCAGAUUAAAGAAAGUUUGUGUGAGUGUUUUCAUGGGCUUGUAUUGGAGGGAAGCAGAUGACUGGGUCCCAGGAGGCAGAGAAGAUGAACUAUUGGGCCCUAAGUGUGUUGUAAGGAAUAGUACCAUCUGUUGGACCUAAGAUCCACAUGGCAGCAGAGGGUCCAGAAUCAGCCACAGCAGAUUAUUCUAGAUUAAUGUGAGUAGGGACAGGUUUGGAGAAGUAUGGCUAGGAGCACCUGGCAGGUGACUCUGAUGCAGGCAGCAAAGGAGUCAUUGGUUUCCAGGUCUGCUCUCCACAUAACAGAGGGCACUGUCUGUAGAGUACAACAGGCAAGCCUGUGAGGCGGUUUUUCUCAUUCUAGUUGUGCUCAAUAUGCCAUUUUGGGGCAGUUUUCAAUGCUUUCGAAAUCCUGCUAGAAUUUAAUUUGUAUGCAGUUGUGUGUCAUUAUUAGUCCCCAUUUAUUUAACAUCUUUUCUUGUAAUGCAAAAUGCUUUAGAAAGCUUUAAAAAUAGUUUUAGUUUGUAUUGGUCCCAGAUAGGAGAAUUGAGAGGGGAGAUACAAUGAAAGUAAUAGUAAAUAGUAGCUAAGAAGUGAAGUGUCCAGAGACUUGGCCAAGAACUGACCUUCCACACCGUCGGAGAUGAAACAUUACUGAAACAUACAGCAGCUAGACUUACCAAAAAAACGACCAGCAGCAGGUGUCCAGACCCAUGCAGGGUCUGCUUGUUUAAGGCAGAUUGUAGGAGAGAAAUUACUUAACAAAAAAUUAACUUUAAACUGUUUGUCUUAAUUUAAUAGACUGUACUUUGUAUUAUAUCUGAUUUUGAUAUCAGUAAUUGCCAAAGUAUGACAGAGAUGAAUGUAUGUUUUAUGUAAUUUUUAUUUAAAAGUUCUAAUAAUUACAUAACUUUCUAGUUUGUAAAACACUUUUAUGGUUAUUUUACACAGCAGCUUUAGGCAGAAGGCAAAGCAAAUACUGUUAUCCCCAUUUUACAGAUGAUAAAAUUGACCUGGUGACUUUUGGCUUUCACACGUGUGCUGACACCCUCAGUUUUUUUCUCCAGUAGCCCUGUGCUGCAUCAUACCUGGACAGUAUGCACAUUAGACCAACCACAUUUAUUCUAAAAAGCUAGUCAAGCCUGGAACUUUUGUCUUAAGUACACACAAUUAGCCCUUAGCCAGUGAGUGGCUGGCUGAUGUUUCAUACUGACAUCAUAAUUGAUUAAGUGUGUAUUUAAUGGAUUCAGUUUCUGAAACUGGCACUUUUGCCGGAGCAGCUGUAGGACAUAAGUGCAGAUUCUAAAUCCAUGUACCAUAACUUGAGUAGCACUGAGUAAAUGGACCUGAGAAGAACUGGACAAGUCUCUGUCCCUCUGAGGUUGACUGGGAAGCCUUGGUGGUACUGGGCCGUGGUGCAGGUCCCAGAGGCUGGUGCCAGAGCCCAUUCCCUCAGUCUUUGUGUUAAUGGCAAGUUAAAGGUUCUCCAGCCAGUCUCAUGAGCUUUUCAUGAAGAAACGUAAGGAGAUCGUCUAGCUCUAAGGAAGUAAGGACCAAAACACCUAGGGCUAUGUAUGUAUUGCUUUGGCUAACACUUUGAAGUAGUCUUUAAGAAGCUUGAUAGGAUGCAGAGUUGCAUCAAAGAAAUGCUCACAGGGCCUUGAAGGGUAGCUCCUUGUAUGUAGCCCAUCUAGCUGCCACGUAGUUGGCAUUGAUAGCUGGGAGGACAGCGGCUUCCAUCCUAGAUGUAGGAGGCAUAAUUAAAAGGACAAAAAACUUUUUGCUGGUGGCCAAAAAUGAACACAUACCUUGUUCCACAUUCUCCAAGCUCCACCAGCAUCAGUUUUGUAACUCAUUGAAGAGUAUCCUCAUUAGUUGUCUUCAGGCUCUCAAGUUUGUCAGACAUUGCAUUCAUUCCAUCAGCCCACAUUUACAGUGCCUAUGGUGUGCCAGUCCUUGGGGGGUGCAAGAACAAGUCUCACAGUUUAGGGGAGAUGGACAAACAUGAGUAAGUAAAUAUUGUGAGCAUGAGCAGAAGUGUGUGCCAUGCUGGAUAAGAGCCGUCUUAGGCACAGUAGUGGAGGGUAAUCUGCAAGGCUUGAACAAAACCAGUUGUCAUCAGUGUGCUAUAAUACUACUGUGACCCAGUUGCUUUGGUGUUCUGAGGCUGCUCUGAGAUGCUAAUUAAACAGGAUGAUGAUUCAGGUUGCUGUUAUAUCUCAUAAGAAAGAGCCUUUCUGUGAAUGAGCAGGCAUCAGGCUUGGAGAAGGCUCCCUUAAAGCUUCCCUCAGAUAAGGAUUAAACAACGCUAGUUGACUCAGUCCUUGCAGUUUGCUACCUCAAGUCAGCGAGCCCUGCCUCUGAGACAGUGACAAAGUCUGGUGAAAGGUUCAAGCUCUGUAUCUGGGCCACUUUCCGUUAAAACAUGUCCCAAAACUAAUAAUACCUUUUAUAAUUUAUUUCCCAAGUUUAGAGUAUCAAAAAAUGUGAGGUUCUUAUUAGAGUUCUUUAAAAAUAGUUUUUAUUCCCUUCCAUAAUAAAAAAUUUACUAUUAAAAGAUUUUGAAGUUUGGGCCAUUCCUUAUUUUUAAAAUGUGUCUUAAUUUAGAAAUCAUGCUUGGAGCCCCCAAUGUGUCUCAUUCUUCCUGGGGAGCAGUAUUGUAUGGACUUACCUCUGCUUGGAGUGAAUGUAGUAACACUGUGGUCAAAAACAAAGGACAUUUAGCUGUGCAGUGACUUUAAUAUAUUAUUUGUAGCAUAGGAGGAUGAUAAUGCAAAUAGCUACUCCAGGUAAAAAGUAUAGAAUAAAAAUUUAAUUAGAAAUUGUACUGGCCUGGGUAUUGAUUUUUGGGUAGAAGGGAAAACCUUACACAUGGAAGAUACUAUAGAUAAGUAUUUAUAUUCUAUCUUUGGCACCUGGCACCUAGAAAGUACUUUUCAAAUGUUGGAUAGUUGAGUGAAUGAAGGGGGCUAACAGGCGUCAUGGUAUGGUAUGAAGAAAGUUGAACUUGGGGUUCAGAAGAAAAAGAGGUAAAGUUCUAAGUUCUCUUACUAGCUAUGUGAUCUUUAGCAGGUCACUUUGCUUUAGCCUCUUGUUUCUUCUACAAGAAAAACAGAUGUCGAAGACAGACCCAGAGUUCCUUCUUUAUUGAUCUCCUGAUGUCACAAUUUGCCUAGUGAAAUUGUAGGUUUCACUAGGCAAAUUGAGGGAGAAAUCUGUUGCAUUAAAGAACCUAAGGCCAGGUGCGGUGGCUGAUGCCUGUAAUCCCAGCACUUUGAGAGGCUGAGGUGGGCAGAUCACCUGAGAUCAGGAGUUCAAGACUAGCCUGGCCAACAUGGUGAAACCUCAUCUCUACUAAAAAUACAAAGAUUAGCUGGGCGUGGUGGCAGGUGCCUGUAAUCCCAUCUACUCGGGAGGCUGAGGCAGGGGAAUCGCUUGAACCCGGGAGGUGGAGGUUGCGGUGAGCCGAGAUCAUGCC